UCUGAUACCAGAUACAGUCUCUUAUUAUGUUGAGAUUUUCCCAUACUCCUCUACCUGGGACUUCACAUACUUGGUCUUUAUGUAUCACUUUGCCAAUUACUUUUUUAAUACGGUUCACAAGCAACUUGGCCAUAACUUUGUAAUCCGUAUUUAGGAGUGUGAUUGGUCUCCAAUUUUCUAAUUGCGAUUUGUCGCCUUUUUUGUAUAGUAAUGUCACGAUACCUUUCCUCCAAGAUUCUGGCAACACUUCUGUAUUUAAAGCUUCGAUUUCUCAGCUUCAGGGCACAAUUAAAGUCUCUGGCCAUGAUCACUGGUGAUUGACCAGCUAAGAAAGGUUGUAUGUCCUCUAGCAUCUCAGCUCUUUCAUGAAGUUCAGGUCCAUGGCUUCAUCUCUUGCGAUCGUCCCCUUCACUCCUGUGUCAGUAGCAGGUUCCCCUACCACCUUUGCAGGAGCAGAUUUUCCAGGAGCACUCUUCAUAGGAUCCACUAUUUUCUCCUUCAUCAGCACUCUGGAUGUUCCAAAGAUGGGAGAUGGCAGAAAAAUCAUCAUGGCGGUCUGGUCUGAAUGGAG